AGAAGCCUGCAAAAGUGUUUGUCCAGAUGCAAUCCAGUGUUUGCCAGAAUUCAUGUAGGAACCUAAUCCUUGGUCCAGAAGCCAGUUGCAAACCUGCUCUUUUGUCCAUUUGGCAAAUGGCAUAUCCAAGUCACUAACAGGCUUCGGUAGCUAACGUGCCAUAAAAGACAUAUAAUGAGGCAUUCCAAUAGUUGGGCCACUGAUCAUGGCAGCUUGAGUCCCUGGACUACCUCACAAUUGCUUUACCUUCUGCUUCAAAGAGAAAUAAGCAAAAGAUGAUGCAUAUAAGAAUGGAUGUUUCACCACCCACUUCAGUGAGCUGUUGAAUUAAAAAAUCUGUUCACUUACAAUGUCUUCGUCAUCACCAAUAUUUACAUGGUGCUUGUGACGUGCUCAGCACUGUAAUAAGCAGCUUAUAAUUAUUUUAUUUGCAUCUUAGAACAAUGCCAAGAGUAGGUGCUAUCAUUUCUCCCUUUUAUAGAUGAGGAAAUUGAGGAAACAGUGACUUGCCCAGUGUCACACAGUAUCUUAGAUUGCAUUUGAACUUGAGCCUUCUUGUCUCAGACCUCAAUACACCAUACCACCUAGCUGCCCAUGAAUGGACUGGAAAGCACCAUUUCUGCUGGCUCAUUUUGCUAUCAUUACCUGUUAGACUGCCCAAGGUCUCUAGACCAACCCAGACGAGGACCAGCAGUUGCUCUUGUUCCCCCUCUUUUGAACUCGGUCUCAGACAUAUCAUCUGGAUUGAAAGUGGUGGAUUGGCUCCUUCUGAGUCUGAAUAAUUGACAAAACAGAUACAACAAUGGAAAAUAUCUGGAGACCUUUUAGCUUACAGAUCUAGAGAGGAAAAUGUUCAAUUAAUCUAUACCUUUGAUGCUUCCUCCCUCCUUUAUCCAUUGAUUUAGAAAUCUGGCUGCCCGUGAGGGUAAAUGGGUUGAGCUUUAUGCUUCUCUUCCAUAUGCUGCAAAGUGCCCUAAGGUGGCACCUCAAUCUGGCCUAUUUCAGCUAAAUGUCCAUUUAUAGCUUUCUUAGUCAAAAGACAAAUAUAUAUAUAUGUUGAGUCUUUACUAUAUGUAGGAUAUUUUCCCGGCUAUUUGGGAGAAGUAAAGAAAUGUGAAGCUGGAGCUAGUCAUGAAGAGUCCUAAAUUUCCCUCUUUCACUUACUUUCCAAACAAUUUCAUGAUACCCCUGGAUUUCUUUUUGGAGUCUAGAGAAGGUGGAGAUAUCUGGAAGGGACUGGUGCACUCUGCAUCCUUUCCUAGGGAAGAUAAGCCAGCCAAAGCUGGGUCCUCAGCAGUUUCCUUUUCGGUUUCAGCUAUUUCAAGAGCAAAACAAAAAAGACUCAUUGAAUUUAGAAUUAUCAAAGAAAUUCAAACAAUAAUUUUAUUUCAUUUCAGGAACAUAUAACCAUUUUUCCUGCUGACAUCUUCCUUAAGUUACUAUACUGUAGCUACCAAAAAAUGAACCAAGAAUUUGAGUUCUUAUCCAGAAUCAACUACCUGAACAGUGAAUUAGCUUAAAAAAUGAAAAUAUCUUAGAAAUCCUAGAUGACAGAAGUUAGUUUUUUGUUUUUCUUUUUUUAGGGAGGAGCAGAGUUGAUGGCAUAUCUUAAAUCUAUCUGUUAUAUAUGUAUAACCCUGUGAAAUUGCUUGUCAACUCCAGGAGGGGGGUAGGGAAGAGGGGAAGAAGACAACAAGAAUCACACAACCAUGGGAAAAUUUUUUUUAAAUUAAAAAAAAAUAAUAAACCUA